CAAGAGGCAUCCUGUGUGACCUCACUCACCCCUUCCUCCACCCUUUGUUGAUCUGGCCUUUAAGCAUGUAGUUGUAGACAGAGGCUCCCCAGUGUCUCUGCUGCAGUCCACCUGAGAAGGGCAGAUGAUCCUUCUGCAAGGGAAAGGAAAAAAAGAAAAACCUUGAAUGUGAUAAAAUCGAUGGUGCCUGCAAGUAUCAGAACAUCCAUGGGUGUGUCAUCCUGCCUGGAGAAUGCAAGAGUCAGAAGAAACACUGCUGCAUCGUCUAGUUUCAGCAUCGGAGCAUCCACAGCAGCAGCAGACACUCCCCACAGUCUCAGCUCACACAUGGCCUUCACUGGGAAGACAUGCUUCAUUCACCCAACUUGUGUAAGAGAAGAGACUGGUUCCAUGGCCUCAGCUACCAGUACAGUUUCUA
ensembl:lncRNA